rnacentral:lncRNA from 1 species
CCUCCUAUUGGUGGCAGUGUCUUCUCCAGGAUCCUGUAAACCAGAGGCUAUGUCAGGAGCUAAGGACAUGAUGGCCAAGAAGAACUAUGCACAGGACAAACAAGCAGGAGACAGGGUUCUGGGAGAGAAGGUGAGCUCACUUCUGCAGAUGACUCUACUCACUGGCCACACCAUGCUCUAUAAACACCCUGCACCAUCUGUGAUGUCAGCUGCCAGCCGCCUGGAGAAUCUGCCCUGCUCUGGGAGCUUGUAUUAAAACACUCACUUAUAACUCCCUAUUAAUUUUUCACGAGGAGUUAUUUUUAACUUGCUCAAACCAUUGUCUGAAUAUGCC